UACGUAGGGUGCAAGCGUUAUCCGGAAUUAUUGGGCGUAAAGAGCUCGUAGGCGGCUUGUCGCGUCGACUGUGAAAACUUGGGGCUCAGCUCCAAGCUUGCAGUCGAUACGGGCAGGCUAGAGUUCGGUAGGGGAGACUGGAAUUCCUGGUGUAGCGGUGAAAUGCGCAGAUAUCAGGAGGAACACCGGUGGCGAAGGCGGGUCUCUGGGCCGAUACUGACGCUGAGGAGCGAAAGCGUGGGGAGCGAACAGG
rnacentral:rRNA from 1 species